rnacentral:rRNA from 2 species
GGACUACACGGGUAUCUAAUCCUGUUUGCUCCCCACGCUUUCGUGCAUGAGCGUCAGUACAGGUCCAAGGGGCUGCCUUCGCCAUCGAUGUUCCUCCUGAUAUCUACGCAUUUCACUGCUACACCAGGAAUUCCACCCCUCUCUACCGUACUCUAGUCAUACAGUCACAAACGCAGUUCCCAGGUUGAGCCCGGGGAUUUCACAUCUGUCUUAUAUAACCGCCUGCGCACCCUUUACGCCCAGUAAUUCCGAUUAACGCUCGCACCCUACGUAUUACCGCGGCGGCUGGCAC